UUAGAACAAAGUGUUUGCCAUCUUUUAUUGAGCCCAUAUUACAUGACAAUUAUGGUAAAAUAUAAGAUCUGGAAACGGGAGGACUUACUGUCUUCACCUGAAUGUGCAGACACGUCCUGGUGUGCGAGGCGCUAACAACAAGAACAACAACAAGGCACUAAUCAUCACAGCCAACCGCGGCUCUGUCUACAAUCAAACACUCGGCGAUGAAAGCUCUGAGUGUUGUGGACACUUUAGCACUAGAACAAAGCACAGCGGGAUGAGGAGCUCCAGAUGGUGUACUCGGACACAGAGCAUGCAGAGUCCACAUUGGGGUAGGGUGUGGGAGGGGUUGAAGAAACUGACAAGCCGGAAUGCCGGACCGGAAUGGGAAGGUCACGGCUCUGGCACCUGAUAUCUACUGAGGUCCUCUUAGGGCUUGGUGUUGGUAAGCCCUGCCAGAGUUUUUUCCCACAGCGGAUGUCCAGACCGAACCACCAGAUGAAAGCCUCGGAGUAGUUCACACGGUGAGGUGGGGAAGAUGUCAAAGAUGUGAAGAGAAAGUCUUCAGCUGCGACGACUUCAGAAAGACGGGAGGGUUUUGGCAGGGAUCUCGCAUUUUGGGGAAAUUGGAGAGGCGACGCAAAGGCCAAGACUGGCGAAUACUCGUUUUGAAUCCAAACAAGUGACAAUUCCCAAAACUUAUAAAAGUUCCAGGACUGAGGUCCAAAGAUAUGUUUGAAUCUGAACUAUAAGUUUUCCAACGGCCACAAUGUCACGGUCACCUUGAUAUGGACCACGUUCACGGUUGCUGAGAAAGCGCUUCUUCGUGGUGCCUAUUCCGAGCUACUCCAGGUCACCUCUACGGGCUUCAGAAGUUCUCAACUUCAAGAAGAUGGUAUCCAAAGAUUACCGACCAUGCGUCAACCUCAAGAAGAAGGUGUGCAAAGAUUCCAGACCGCUUUGCUUCCAAGUCAAUCAUGCUGAACAUGACGGACAGGAUUUCUCCUGACUUUGUGACAUGGUUCUGUUUAUUUGUCUAUUGUGAAAGGUGGGGGUUAUCCUGAAGAACUAGUUGAAAGCAAAUUAUAUGAGCGACGUUGUGGGUUACGCGUGUCGGUCACAUCCCGAUGACACGUUUGGCGACGUACACUGGUGCUGCGGUGGCACCUGUUUUAGAUUAGUGGCGGCCAAUGUAACAUUAACUCCACUUCCUGUUCCACAUGCAUGUUUAAGCAUAAUCCCAGAAGUGUGGUUGA